AAAUGCGAUAAGUAAUGUGAAUUGCAGAAUUCAGUGAAUCAUCAAAUCUUUGAACGCACCUUGCGCUCCUUGGUAUUCCUUGGAGCAUGCCUGUUUGAGUAUCAUGAAAUCUUCAAAGUAAAUCUUUUGUUAACUCAAUUGGUUUCUACUUUGGUAUUGGAGGUCUUUGCAGCUUCACACCUGCUCCUCUUUGUUCAUUAGCUGGAUCUCAGUGUUAUGCUUGGUUCCACUCGGCGUGAUAAGUUAUCUAUCGCUGAGGACACUGUAAAAGGUGGCCAAGGUAAAUGCAGAUGAACCGCUUCUAAUAGUCCAUUGACUUGGACAAUACUUUUAUGAUCUGAUCUCAAAUCAGGUAGGACUACCCGCUGAACUUAAGC
rnacentral:misc_RNA from 1 species